rnacentral:lncRNA from 1 species
UGAAAAGAGCUUGACUGAACAGUUUAAUAGGAUUUCUGUAAGUUGCUAAGUCUGAGGAGGCAAUUUUGGUCGAGUCUUUUUUAGUUUUUCUUUCAGGAAAGCAAACAAGGAAAAAGAAAACUAGAUUGGGACCCAAAUUGUGGAACCUGGGGUACAUCUCUGUUAACACCGCACCAGACCUAUCAAUGCAAUAGCAACACUUGUCCAGUCCUGAGCCAAUCUUACGCUUUUAUGUCACUUAGCAGGUGCUUCCUCUUCUGACCAGAGUUCAGGAGACCACCAGUAGUUGAUCUGCUCUUCCGUUUUGCAUUGACAUCUUUCUGCGCCUUUUGUCGUGAGCCUUUACUUUACUUUAUUGUCCAAAUGGAGUAUGCCUGGUACUGGCAGGAUGAACAUGGAGAGUGGAUUGAAUAUGGGCAACUGCAAUCGAAUCAUAGUGCUGCUACAAUAACUUCUGAGGAACUCGAAGAGGCCUUCCUAAAUAAUCAGAGAAAAACGGUUUUAUUUAAAGCAGGUUCUCAGUACUACGAAUUAAACUUUCAAGGUAAGGUUUGUUUAAGUUCUAAUAUACUACAACGUAACAGGCUUUUUUAACAUAGUUUCAUUCAUGCUAACUCAAGCAC